AGAGAUGGGGUUUCACCAUGUUGGUCAGGCUGGUCUCAAACUCCUCACCUCAGGUGAUUCGCCCGCCUUGGCCUCCCAAAGUGCUGGGACUACAGGCACCCAAACACACUUGGAGGUCAUGUUCAAUAUGAAUACCUCACAGAGAAGGAAAUUUACACACAAGAAGUACAUGCAGAGAAAGCCAGCUGGCAUGUCGACCAUUCAAAAACUCAGGGUAUUUAGGAUAAAAAAGACUCAGGAAGACAAGUAUGAAGCAUAAUCUGUGGCGUUCCACACAGCAGACAUUAGACACAUACAGGAGAGUUGUUGGAAAGCGGAAUUUAUCUUCAUAUAAAUAAUACUGAGCUAGAUCUUAAAUCUCAAUAUUUCAGAUCUCUAGAACUAUCCAUCAGUGAAAUGGAUUGCCAACAGAAAGAGCAAUACCAUGUCACUUAAGAAUACAAUCAUGGACGAGGCUGCCACCUGCUGUUGGGGGCCACUGCAGAAGAAAUUCCAGAACAUUGGGCUGUAGAGCAUCUCACUUUCCUUACGGCCCUAAGUUUCUGACUCAGUGACCUGGCGUCAGUACCAUAUACACCAAGACCCACUUACACAGAUGACUGUUCUUCACAUUAGGCCCAUGGAGACAGGGGUAAAAUUCUGACUUUGCUCAGAUACCUUCUCUGGUACUGACAUCUAAGCAUUACACAAUUCAUCUCUUCAUACUUAAUCUUUGAAGUUUGCUACUUCUCAGACAGACUAAUGAGUAAUGACCAAAUAUCCUGAAGCUUAGAAUGCUUCUAACUCCUCUCAAAACAGAAUAUUCAUCAAAACAGAGCAGUUGUGCACUUAAUUUUAGGCCUUGUCUAAUGCCUCCUUUCUUGGCAGUAAUUGUGGCCAGAAUAGCUCUUUCCAGGGACAGAGAAAGGACCUUUUGAAAGGAUAGGGUCUCUAGAUAGAAAAGCAAAUGCCUUAUUCCAGAAGGUCUUCAAGAAAAAAAGGCUGUGGUGAUAACAAAGAUAACUGAAUAUAAUCUAUUCUGUUAAAAAAAAGUUUAUGAAAUAGUAUAUGUGUAUACAGUUCAUAAAAAGCUGAAUAUAUAUAUGUGUAUAUAUAUAUACACACACACACAUACACACACACAUUCAAAUAAAUAAUAGUUAUCUCUAACUAGAGGAAUUCUGGUUGCCCUAUAUUUUCUUCUUUUUCCUUACUUUAUUUUCUACAAUAAACAUGUAUUCUUAACAAGAAAA